rnacentral:lncRNA from 1 species
AAAAAAAAAAAAAAGUGAAAAAACUUAUAUGAGACUAGAGGAAGAAAAGAAAAUGGUGAAAAUGCAAAGAUUUUAGGAUGCGUUUUAUAAGAAAAAAUAAUUUUUUAAUAUAUUUUUGUUAUUUUCAAGAGAAUGAAUGGAAUAGUGACGGAAUUCUGAUAAAAGAGACUAAUUAAAUGCAUCAAUCUGAAAUUUUAAGGAGGCAAAAUAUAAGUUCUUUAAAGUCAAAAGAAAAAAAGUAAAAAAAGAGUAUUU